CCAACAACACGCGUCCGCAUUACAGGUGGGUAGUUCUCCCCCUGAGUGCCAAGUUUCUCCGUCUUUUAUACCUUUUAGCAAGUUUGUAACUUUUCCAAGAUUUCUUAUCAGUGCAGCCCAGCAUGUAUCUUGUCAUGUGCAUUAGGUCAUCAGUAUGGUUGAUCAGGCCAGUCGUGACCACCCAAGGCUCAUGCCAGACACAUGCGGUAUCUUAUCUAUCUAUGUCCCUACUCUUAUCUCUCCAUACAUUUGUUGGCACCAAUUCCCUCUGUUCAGCAGUAGGCCUUUUUGGAUAUUGGCCAGACAUGCUAUGGAAUAUUCCAGGCAAUGUUGAAUUUCUUAGUGCGACACAGUUUAAGCAUUUUAUGCAAUGUCAUCAUAGCUGAAUUUCUUAGUGCGACACAAGUUGAAUUUCUUAGUGCGACACAGUUUAAGCCAGGUGCCAUCUUAACUAUCUAUGAUAGAUUAAUUUGCUCAUUAGUGAUCAAUCAAUCAUUCUUAAUUAGUUAAUUGGAUUUUAUCACAAUUAUCA